rnacentral:rRNA from 1 species
AACGGCCAUACCAUGUUGAAAUACACGGUUCUCGUCUGAUGCACCAGGAAAGUUAAGCAACAAUUGGGCGUGGUUAGUACUUGGAUGGGGUGACCGCUUGGGAACACCACGUGCCGU